UAAUCCAAGAGAAAGAAAGAAAAGAUAAAGAAAGGAGGAUAAAGGCUUCUGGAUAGGCUGCCCAAGUUGGUCUGGUAGUGCUCCAUUAAGAAGUGCAUUUCUCUCUGACCUGACGACUUUUGGUGAAUAACGCGUGAGUCACCACAAGACGAAAACAGGCUGCAGUAUAAAUGCCUGAGCAACAUGCGUUUUAAGUUAAGAAAAAUAAUGUUAAAGGAAUGAUGCUUCAAAAGUGGCUAGAAAUGGCAGGCAAAUUCCUUCAUUCACUAGUAAUUCUACUGGUAGUUUCCCAGCUUAUCUUCUUGAAUGCUACCUCAACAUCCAGGACUGGAGAUGAUCUAUUAUAUAAUAGUCAAGAUAUGCUAUCUCCUGAUCGGAACACCCAGCACCAGACAAUCACAAAGCGAGGCGCCGGGAGGGAGAAUCUGGAGUACACUGAUUAUUCAGGAACAGGACCCAAUAACCGCCACACUCCUGAGCCGCCUUCUGGCCAGGGGGGGAACUAAUUAAGCUCAGUCAGUUCAAGGAUUGCACGGUAGAUUUGUAAACAAAAAAAGGGCCCUUCUGCUCAGUUCCUCCAGGCAAAGGUUAAGUUUAUGUAGGCAGAAUAAAGCCGGGAGCUUAUUAGGGUUAAAACCACUAGUGGAAGAAUAUGUAGACUGAAGUAACUUGAAAUGUUAAUUAUCUGCUUUGCCAUGUU